rnacentral:rRNA from 1 species
GACGAACGCUGGCGGCGUGCUUAACACAUGCAAGUCGAACGGAAAGGCCCUGCUUUUGUGGGGUGCUCGAGUGGCGAACGGGUGAGUAACACGUGAGUAACCUGCCCUUGACUUUGGGAUAACUUCAGGAAACUGGGGCUCAUACCGGAUAGGAGCUCCUGCUGCAUGGUGGGGGUUGGAAAGUUUCGGCGGUUGGGGAUGGACUCGCGGCUUAUCAGCUUGUUGGGGGGGUAGUGGCUUACCAAGGCUUUGACGGGUAGCCGGCCUGGGAGGGUUACCGGCCACAUUGGGACUGAGAUACGGCCCAGACUCCUACGGGAGGCAGCAGUGGAGAAUAUUGCAGAAUGGGCGGAAGCCUGAUGCAGCAACGCCGCGUGCGGGAUGACGGGCUUCGGGUUGUAAACCGCUGUCGCCUGUGACGAAGCGUGAGUGACGGUAAUGGGUAAAGAAGCACCGGCUAACUACGUG